AAGGGAAAAAGGAGGGAGAACAGAGAGGAUUGUGUGAACAGCAAAUACGGAUGUGCUUUACUGGAGAGAAAAACCUGGAGAGGGUGGGAGAAGACUAAAUUGGCAAAAUGUUUCUCAAAGGCCUGAGGCUGACUUACAGGGAAGAAAACAACCAAACAUAAAGCAUAUUGUGCCCUUCACCACCCCUGAGCAAUGAAGCGCAGCAUCGGAAGCUUUUGUGAGGCAGGUGGCAUGCCAAAGUCCACGCAGCAGCUGUGCCGACCCUGGGCAUUUUGAAUGCCUAAAGAAAACACACAUGCUGUUCUUCAGGUCUAAGCAGUUUGUGGUUUGCCUGGGGCCUUCAGCAGCAAGGAGAGGAGAGGAGCAGCAUGGCAGCUCUGCUGCUGGCCAGCAGUGUGGAGGACUCGCUGCUCAGAUGUCUGAAGCAGAAGGUUCAGCUGUUUUGGUGCCCGUGCUGCCAGUCAUGCUCCGCUGGUCACUGCCACCAGAGAGCCCUACAGACCGAGCCCCGCUGCAGCCCUGUGCUGGGUGACCCGGCGGCAUCUGCCAGCCACAUUUCCUGCAGCAGCUUAGCAGAUAUUGACACACCAACAACAGUUCAGUGACCGUGACGGGUUCCUCCCACACUGCAGCACCUAUGAUUUGUAUUAAAAUGGCAUACCAAGUGCUGCAAGUUCUAAAUAAGGGAGGUUCCCUCUCCUAGGCGGUGUACCAUCCAAGGCUAGAGGGAUUGCUGCACUCCUGCUACCCAUGGUCCAUGGCAGACUGGGAUAGAAUUCAGAGCUUCUAAAUCCUAGAUUAGCGAACUAACAAGAUUAUCCUUUCACUCUGAAAACAAGAUUGAGAGAGAGAUUUUGGUAACACCCAAAACUAUUUACAUUAAAUUUCCUGGAACUGUAAAACAUUUUAAUUUUAUGCUUAAGGAAAAAACCAACCUACCUCUGUUAGCAGAGUGUAAAAGUCCCAUCUUGAUCACACAGAUACAGGCACGUGUCAGUUACAAAGCUGUUUGAAAGUUAUACUACUGACAUGUCUUUGAUUUUUAAUAGGUCCUGUGACCUACUAUGAAUGCCUUCAUAAUGAAAAUAACUUGUUCCAUGAAAGAGCAGAUGUUCUAGUACUUAAAUACUUGCUGCUGCCAUGCCAAAGUCUUCUGCUUAAUGGCAUUAGAAGCAGCAGUUUGUCCUGAUCAAUAGUUCUGCUAACAUUCUAGAUGCCACAGAGAGCCAGAACAGGUGGAUCUCCCAUAAGAAAGAGUUUUUAUGGGCCGGGUUUUGUACAAAGUGCUGGGUGUAUACAGUUCUGCCGAGCAACUUCCGGCAUUGGGUACUUAGGCUUCCCUCCACCUUUCUACUACAAAUUCUUUUAUGACAUUUAUGAUAUGUUUAUUUGAAGAAUUGUGUUACGCCCAAGCAAUAUAGCUGUAGCCUGACCAAAGCAAUGAAUUGUCUAAGGGAAAGAAAAAGUCACAGGCAAAUCUUAAAUUUAAAGUAUACCUUUGGCACAGAAAUCUCUAAAUCCAAAGGUGCCUUCAGCUGAUCUCUCACACUUUCCCUAGUUUCUCUUGCAGCAGAGGUGGACCUCUUCUAUUCCAUUCUCUUCACAUAUUUUCCAAUAGACCAAUUCCCCUCUUUACAAUAUUGCUACCUGCAGCCUCUCUGUGUUUUGAGGUCUGCUGAGGAUGAAGAAACAGAGUGCCCCUCUGUGACCAUUUUCUUGCAGAUGUAAGAACAUUGAAGCAGAUAAAUCCUGUGCAUGUCUGUGAGUGGUAUGAGGGUGCCCACAGGCCAGGCUGAAUGGGGCCUUUGAGCAACCUGAUCCAGUGGGUGGCAUCUCUACCCACAGCAGGGGAGUUGGAUGUAGAUAAUCUUUAAGAUCCCUCCCUACACAAGCCAUUUGAUCAUACUAUAUUAGGGCCUGGCCUCCAUGGGCCUCCUUCCCACACACUUUGGUCGAACCAUGGCAGCACUUCAGUGCAAUGACAGAGGUGUCCAGACUGCUCCUCUCCUCAUGGCAGAACGUUGUGGAUAGUCACUGUUAGCAUCACACAGCAUCGUGCCCUCCUGGUUGCCUGCUGUGCGUGUGGGGGAUGUAUAUACCCAUCAAGAGACUACUUAUGUACCCUAUAUGGGGACAAAAGCUAUGUCCAGCCAUGUCACAUGGGUGGAUGUGCACUCAACAUUUGAUGGGAGUUGCGAAGUUUCACCAUGUCAGCUUUAUACUUAGUACAUACCAUGGAAGGAGCUUUAUCCAUGUCUCCCUUCACUGUUCCCCUUAAAAGGCUCCCUUGUCCCGAGCUGGUGUCAGAGUGCUUUAUUUCAACUCCAAACACCAAUUUUUGAGUACAAUGAGGGCUGUGCCCAGGAGCUGGUGGGACUGCCUAGCAUGGCCUUGAGGAGAGAGAGGAGAAAAGAUGUGUUUGCUUGUAUGUUAGGAAUAUGACCGGUGGAGAAACUGCCAUUAACAUGCUUGCAGAACUGGAUCUGUUCUCCCAUCUGUAUUUAUCACAAUGAGAAAGACUACCUGUACUAUCCAGUAUAACAACAACAACAACAAAAGCAGCAAAAAUAACAAUAAUACAUCUUAGCCCAAUUCCAUGAGACUUUAUCGCUUUGUCAUUUAGUUUAUUAGUAUUAUUAAUACUAAUAAAUUUCCAGCAAAUUUCCA
rnacentral:lncRNA from 1 species